rnacentral:lncRNA from 1 species
GAAACUCGCAAUGCUGGCGAUAUAUAAUUGUAAGAGACUAGAGGCCUUACCCAAGGGAUUGCACAAUCUGAAGUCUCUUCAAGAAUUAAGAAUAGGAAAAGGAGUUGCGCUUCCAAGCCUUGAAGAAGAUGGCCUUCCCACCAACCUUCAUGUACUGCUGAUUAAUGGUAAUAUGGAGAUUUGGAAGUCAAUGAUUGAGCGGGGCCGGGGAUUUCACAGAUUCUCCUCUCUGCGACAACUUACAAUCAUGAAUUGUGAUGACGACAUGGUAUCAUUCCCACCAAAGGCAGAUGACAAAGGAUCGGGGACAGUGCUUCCUCUUCCUGCCUCUCUAACAUAUCUGAGGAUUGAAGGUUUUCCAAAUCUGGAACGCCUAACUUCUUCAAUUGUUGAUCUUCAAAACCUCACUGGAUUGGUUCUCGGGAAUUGUCCCAAGCUCAAAUACUUUCCGGAGAAGGGCCUGCCUUCCUCACUUUUGCAAUUAAGUAUCAAUCGCUGUCCGUUGAUAGAAGAGAAGUGCAGAAAGGAUGGAGGACAAUAUUGGGACUUGUUAACCCAUAUACCGAGUGUUGAAAUAUCUGGUAAAUGGGUUUUUGAUGACUGAAAUGUUUUAUUAUUAGAAUUUUUCUUUUUUAGUUGGGUGUGUUUGUGAAUGUAAUUUCAAAUCUUAGUUGAAAACUAUUUUUCUUUUGCAAUUACAGAUGUUGAGAUGUCCGUUGAUGGAAGAGAAGUAAGAGAAGUAAGAGAAGUAAGAGAAGUGCAGAGAGGAUGGAGAACAAUAUUGGGACUUGUUAACCCAUAUACCUUAUGCUCGAAUAGCCCGACUAAUGAAUGGGUAGAAGUGGUCGACUAAUCAAUGGGUUCGCAUUAUUUAGCUAGCGAAGGACGACUCUAUUAAUUAAUUAAUUAAUUAAUUUUUCAUUCUCAGCUGUUGAAACUUCAGUUUCUUAUAUUUGUCUUUUCUGCGGUACGGUUACAUAUAUUUGUCCUUUACAUAAUAUCUUAUGUAAAAUAUUUUAUUAUUAGAAUUUUUUUUCUUUUAAAUCAAGCGUGUUUGUGUAUGUAAUUUUAAAAUUCAAAUUUGGCUGUUGAAAUAAACUUCAGUUUCUUUUAUUUGGCUGUACGGUUAAAUAUGUGUAAUAUUUCUCUUCAUCAGACUUCGACAAAAAUUGUUAAUGUUCUUAUUAGUAAUUAAUUAGUACGGUAGUGUUCUUCUUUUGUUCCACAAUUUAUCAAAAGCAUUUUACUACAUAAUCUUUGUACAUGUACAUCGUCAUCAAAUCCCAUAACACCCAAAACAGAAAAUCAAAAGAAAACAAGAACAUGCCACACAAUAUAAAAAACGAAAAGAACAUUAUAACGCCAAGUAUUAUAUUUCUCUAAUUACAUUUCGGUUUUAGUGGCCUUAACUUAAAAUCUCCUCCAGAACAAUCUGCCUCCUCAGCAAUAAUGUUAUAAUGUUCUUUUGAUGUUGUUGUUUUUUUAGGUGCUACUUAAACAGAUGAGGGCUGGGCCGCGUUACAAAAUUAUUUGUAAUUUUUAAUUUAAUUGUUUAUGUGCCAUCGCUAUUAAUAUUAACCGAUAAAUACAAUUUUAUCAAUUACUGAAUAUUUGAAUUCAUCAAAACUGUUAUAAUUGAUCAGGAAGUCCAACUUUGUAGCUAUAAUAUGCUAUUUUCAUAAGACUUCGUUAAAGAUUGUUUUGUAAUUAAUUUCACACAACACAACCCUACAGAAAAUUGACCAAAACAAAAUGAAAUAUCAAGGCUGUAAUUAGCACUUGAUCAAAGGAAAAGAAGAAACAAAUGAAUUUGUAAGGAGUACUGCGAUACGUAUAUGAAUUUGUUUAGAGUUCUUUAUCAUAAAAAAAAUCAAUUGUAUGUCCUUCGUAUUUUCUCUAUAAAAACUUGCAUUAUAGAAAAUCAAAAGAGAAACAGCAUCCCAGAAUGCCAAAAAAAUAUCAGAAACAAAAAUCAAACAAAGCAAUUAAAAAGCAUUUGCUUGUGAUGCCAUGACCAUGAAUGCUACUGCCAUAACAAGAAAUGGCAUUGCAAGACUGUAGAAUGCCACAUGUGCGAAUGAGAAGAACAUUACAAAUCAACAAUUCAAAGAAAAAAGAAGAAUUUAAACCAGCUAAAAGGAUAGGCAUUAGGUAGAAUUUCACACAAAAAACAAGACUAAGAAAAUUUAAGGUGAUUUGCAUUUAUAAUCAGCAAAUGAGUCAACAUAUCAGAAUGAGAAGAACAUUCAGGAAUCACCAGGCAGGACAAGAUCAAGGAGGCAACAAGGAAGCAUUUGUUUUGGCCAAAUAAAGUUUGCAGAUCUUUUAAUGCUAAGAUUAGUAAUAAAACUAUCACUGGGAUAUUGGUUUGGCAAUGUUGAAUUAAUGGCCCUGAGUUUUAUGAUCUUUAUUACAUAUGUAUUUAUUGCAACUACACAUACAUGUAAUAUGUACCUUGUAGGCUUAUUUAUUUAUAUUAAUAAUUAAUAUGAUCUUUUCAAACUUACACGAAGUUGUUGAACAUAAAAAUACUCAAAUAUUCAGUGUUCUUGAUUAAAUUAGCAUCAAUGGACAUAAUUAAAUAAAGAAAAUCGGAUUAUUACGAUGAUUGGUUUAGUUAGCUACAUUAGUGUUAUUUUGUCUAAUUAUCAAGGAUAACAUUCAAUUAUAUAUAAUAUGUCCUUCAUAUUUUCUCUUUUAAUUAAAAUCGUAAAAAGACUUGCAAUAUAGACCAUGCAUUUGUUAUGUUGUUUAUUGGAGUGAAUUGAUGUUUUUCUUGUGAUUGUCAAAUAUUGUCUUUGUAAGUUAUCUAUUUUGUAUAUAUGAAAUCAACGAGAGUUUCACUCUUAUGGAAGGAUGUUGCUAGGUACCAAGAAGUAAGAACUGAUAGUUGUGUUAAUUAAUUAGUAUAAGUUAGCUGAAUGUUCAAUGUUCAUGCUCUUUUGAGCUACAUAUGGCAAUGAAAAUUGAGUUUCUGUGUAAAAUAUGAAGCUAUUCAAUCAAGCAACUCUGCUUUUCAAUUUUCUUACAUCUAAGUCAAAUAGCACUCUUUUAUAAAUCUUCGAGAGAACAAAGUUAAUGCAGGUUCGUACUUAUUAAAUUUGACAUCAAACAAUGAAGUGUAAAAAGUGAAAUUCUUAUCUAUGAUAAGCACCUAAAAUAAUUGCAUUGAGUUUUUCAAUUUUCAAAUUUUCAUUGCUAACUCAACAAUUGAGAGACUGAAACAUAUGGAAUAAGAAAUUAACAUAUUCAACCCAAAAGAUUAUUCAACUUAGAUGAUUCAAUAUAACACCUAAUAAGCUUAUGAGUCUUAUUUAAGGAAUAUUAUAAUUUUACUUGGAUUGCUAGAAAUCACGGGAUGUUAUUCAUUUAAGUAUGUGAUACACUUGUUUGAUGAAUUGCUUAUAUGAGUAGAUUAGAUUUUUAUUUUGGUCAUAUUUCUUAUUUUUCUAAUCCCAUCGGUCCCCUAUUUCCCAUCCCACAGCAAAUGGUGAUAGAGCUUCCCUAUCAUAUGUCAAACCCAUUAAAGCCAAAAGUAAGAAGUUAAAGAACUAUUUUGUACUGGCUAUACAAAGAACUAUAUUACAGUACUACGCACCCCAAAAAAAAAAAAAAUGAAGGCACCAUUCAUACUUCCAAAUCCAGCACUAGCACUUGAAAACAAUAGAAACAAAGGAAUUUGCCAAUAAAAAAAGUCAGCUGGAGAAAGCCAAGAAGAUGCAACUAGAAGCUAAGUGAUGUAAGGGAAUGAAAUCUAUUCCGAAAGAACGCCAAAUUGAAUUCAGGAAGUAACAUUGACUUACCCAGUUACAAAAGGAAGCCACUUUAAUCCUUUAAGAUGAUUAUGAUGAAAUUGGUUCCCUGUAUUGAAACAAUAAACAGCACCAAGGAUAACACUAAAGGCAGAGCCAGAUUAUAAGGGAAGAAAAAAGGGAGGAAAAAAAAUUUUACAACAUGAAAUUGGACUUUUGUUUUAUCUUCCAAAAGCAAGAAAUUCGACUAGAAAAGUAUAAAACAAGUACACAAUAUGAAAUUUUUAGCAAUCUUACAAAAUCACACCCAAAUCUCAAUAAGAUUGUACAUAGUUUUAGUAAAGCUCUACAAAUAUUUAUUUAACACCUAAUAAGAUCAUCUCCAUAAAUUUAAAAGCUUAAAACAAAGAAAGAAUACUUUUGAAUACAAAUAUACAAUGGAGUAGAGAACAAAAAAUGACAUAGAGGGAAAAAAAACACCAAGAGCAGAAAGAGUACAUAUACCAUCUCUAGCCCAUAAUUCAGACUUAUCCCCAUUGCACUCAAGAUAUGAAGUUUAGGGUCUAAAGUCUUCAACUCCUUGUAGUUCUUCUUCACAGAUGAUCUGCAAAAGUUAUAAGAGAAAGGUAAUUAGUCUUCAACUCUUUCUAGCAAGUUGAUUAGUAAUUCCUAAACAAGUUUAUAGCUUAUUAAUUAUAGUUGGAAUGCCCCCAAAGUUACUAAAACACAAACAAUAGAAACAGUGAGUUUUAAAUUAGUUGUGAGCAAUGCAUAGUCAGCCAUCAUUCUCAUUUUAGUCUCCCAUGAAUAUGAUGGCAAUAUGUAUAAUGGUAUUUUCCCAAUAUCAGACUAAGACAGCAUCUUUAUAACAAUAAUUCUGACAUUUUCUACUAUUUUUAUCUUUUUGCUAACAAAAUGUACAUCAGAACAUAAAUUUGAAGAAAAAUAAAAUUUAAGCAUACUCAUGUCAUUUAAUCAUAAAAAUGAAUAUCAAAAUUAAGCCUAGAUCUCAACAAUUAAACUCUAAACAAAUUAAACCAAAAAAAAAAAUCAGCUACCCAAAUGAAAUUUGCGUUUGCAUUGAAGCUCGGCCCACGAUAUCCCCAUGUUUAGCGAUCAAUUAGAGGGAAAUUGAACAAGAUACACAACCAGGGCUUUUUUUUCUCCAGUGCCUCAAUAUCAACGUCGUCAACCACCACAUCUUCGUCGUCAUCAUCAUUACUUCAUAAUUCCACAAUUAACAAAAAAUCCCCAAAUGUCAGAAACCUAAUUCAACCGAAUAAUUAACAGGAAAUGGCAGCGGUUGAGCGAUGGCUAUAGAGUAAGGAACUGGUGCUUCAUGAGCGGCCAGUAGCUUGCAACAAUAUUGAGUGAUGAUUGUCGAGUUUGGUGGCUUAGGGUCUCGGUCAACUGUGAGGCUGUAAGGGCUUGGGGUUUUUCUCAAUUAAGGAACUUUUUGAGGCUUCCACUGAUUUGUAAUGUAGAGUUGUGAGAGGCUUAGGGUUAGGGUUCAAUUAAUUCAGCGAUUAUUGGAGAGACAGGGAGCGUGCUUGAGAGUGAAGGAGUAGAGCUUGCUUAUCAAUUCGUUCAUCACUCACUGCAAAUUUGCCAAGUUUUGAUAUGUUAGCUUAAUAUAUUUACAAAACCAAACGACACCAAUUAUUUUAUUAUUUUUUUAAUUUUUAAAAUUAAUUAAAUAUCAACAAUGGCAAUUUUCUAAUUAAACAAAUCUUAAACAAUUUUAAAAUAUCAAUUUCGUCCGUUAUUAGUAAUUCAUAAAUAAAAUAAUAUUUAAUCAAACAAAAUAUCAAGCACUGGCAGUUGGUAGCGGUAUUUUUGUAAUUAAAUAUUUAAAAAAAAAACAAAAAAUAUUGCCUGUUAUGUAAUGUACUUAUCAUAACUUCAUAUUGUAUCUGCAUCAGUCAUGAAUCUAUCAUUAAAUAAUCACGGAAGCAUUAUAUGUUACCGAAAUAUUAUAUUUUCACGAUAAAAUGAUAUAUGUCAUAAAAUUUUUGUUAUAAAAAUAUAUGAUAAUUAUUUACCGACCAUCUAUUUUUUUAAAAUAUAUAAAUUUUAUUUUAAUUUUUUUGCAACAUUCUAUUUAAAGUUAACAUUCUCUUCACUCGUCUAUUUCCGGCGUAACGCAUUUAAUGGAUUUAACAUAAAAUUAAUCAAGUAUUUUUUUACCCAUAAUUGUAAAAUUUUUAUUUUUCUUAAAUAAAUGCCAAAAGUAUAUGAGUAUCAUUUAAAAUUUCCCAAGCUCAAUACGGCAUCGUAAAAACCCUACAAAACCUUCGUUCCCAUCCUUGAGCCUUGAGCCUUGAGCCUUGAGCCUUGAGCCUUGAACAAUAUGAGCAAAAUGAUUUUUUUAGAAAAAAACCAGGGAUAUCAAUUAAUAAAAAUUUAAAUCUAACCAAAAAAUCCUAAUAUAUAAAAGUAAAAUCUUAACAUAUGUCCAAAAGCAAAAGAAUAGAAUUUUAAUUUCAAUUUAGAAUUUUAUUUCAUUUUCAAUUUUCAAUUUUAUUUUUCCUAAGUGAUUUUGAAUAAUUACUACUACUAUAAAUAGUUAUCUCUUAUAGCCUUUGAAGACAUAUUCAACUUCAAUAAUAUUUUAAUUUUCAAAUCUCUUUGUGAGUAUUUAAAUAAUUAAUUUUUAAUAUUCUACGAAAUCAUCGAAUCUUAAUUUCUAAAUCCGCAAUAUUCUUUUAAAUCAAUAAAAAAUUUAAUUAUUUAUUUAUUUUGAUAUUCUCUCAAAUUAAAAUAUUUUAAAUAUUAAAAUUCCGCUCCAUCAAUCACUCGCAAACGCAAUUAGCCCAGCCCAACAUGCGAAAGUGAAAUCGCCUGCAGUUCCAGUCAAUUGAACGUCUUGUCGUUUAUGCUAAAUGUCGUUUCUAAGUUUCAUUUACCAACGACAAAACGAUUUAUCUUUUACCUGAAAGUCCAAGCAUAGCGAGCGAGUUGUUUUACAAAUGGGACAGUUGUCCCAACGAUAUUCACAAACAAUCCCAUUUCAUGGCCCGAAGAACAAACCCAACGACAUAUGAAAGCAUCAACCUUUACUGGAGUAGGUCGAUUGAAAUGAUAGAAGCCGAAGAAGUAAAUGAAACAGGAAUAAGAAGCGGAAGCAAGUAAGCAGAGCAAGUGGCCAUGAAAACAGCUACAUUACCAUUUGGUGGCUUUGGGCAUUCUUAUUUACCUUCAUCUUCAUUCAAGAUUGUUAUUGUAAUGGCAAAGAGCAACAAAAAGUCCCGAUCCUCUUCUUCUUCUUCUAAGGUUCUUUCCACCUUUUUUUGUUUGAAUUCACAAUCUUCUCUUGUUUGAUGGCAAAGUUGGUCCUUUUUAGUUUUUUUUUUUUGUUUUUAAUGAAUUGAAUUUAGCGUUUCAUAGACUCUCCUUUAAAGGGUUUGUGUGAUGUAGUUCAAUAAGUUUUGGAUGCGCCGAAGUAGUUAAUUUUAGUUAUAUGUAGUGUUUGUUUAGCUCAUAUGGGUGUCUUAAUUUUUCAUUUUUCUUAUAUAUCAACAGUCUUCAGUUGUUGGCUGCUCUUGAUGACCGUUUUAGUUUAUUUAAUAUAUUCUUAUUGAAUAAUCAUAAUAAUAUGUGAUGCAAAAUUGUUUAUCAGGUGGUUUACAAUUGUAAGCAAAUAUAUAGAAGCUGAAACUGAUCAUUAUACUUUUAGUGAUUGCUGAUGCCUGUAGAGGUAGAUUUCUGACCCAGAAAGUGCCUUACACGAUCAUAUCAGCCUUGUUAAUGGAAACACAAAAGAGAUUAUGGAAGGUUGGUUUUAUAUUGACAUAUCUAAAACCAGCAUCAGUUUUUAUCUUUCAUCUUAUUUAAGUUUGCCUUUGUAGGAGUUUCAAAGGAGCAAGUCUAGCACGCCUAGGCCUUCAACUAGUUACCGCAGGAAAAAGGUUGAGAAGGAGGAAUUGCCAGAAGAUACAGAGCUUUACCGUGAUCCUACCACAACCCUUUACUAGUAAUAUACUCUUCACGUUUCUUUUAUUUGCCUUGUUUGUUGUUUCAUUGAUCCCCUCUUUACCUUCUAUUAAAGGAAUUUUCUCUUUUAUUUACAGUACAAACCAGGGUAUAGAUAAUGCUGUUCCUGUCUUACUUGUUGAUGGGUAUAAUGUUUGUGGCUAUUGGCCAAAGCUGAAGAAACAUUUUAUUAAAGGAAGGUUGGAUGUUGCUCGUCUGAAGCUAAUUGAGGAACUUGUGGAAUUUAGUAUGAUAAGAGGUUUGUAUUUUUUAUCUCUGUUUUAUUCUAUAAGAGGCUUCUCUGUAUGUUGCAAUCGAUUAAAUGUGAUGCUGCCUUGCUUGGCUAUAACAAAAUGAUGUAUAAAAUACCAUAAUUGAAAGAUAUAUUUCUGCUGCUUAACUUGUGAUUGGAUAUACUUUAAUAGUAGGUGUCUUCAAGAAGUGAUAUCUUGAAAAUUAAACACUGCUCCCAAUGCUUUUUUUUUUCUUUGGAAGGAACUGUUCCCUAUGCUUAGUUUCGUACUUUAUUAAGUUUUGCUAUCAAAGUUUCUUCUUUGGAGGUUAUCCCCAAAGAUCUAUGAUUGCUUUAAUGUUUCAUAGUAGUCUCAAGUUAAAAGUUAACUGUGUCAAAUUGUCAAAUAAAGUGUUAGUAGAUGAACAAAAUGAAGCAAAGACAGAUGGAUUUUCUAGAUUUGACCAUAUGGUCUUUCUCCUCUUAUUUUUCCAACCAGAAAUUUAACAGCACUGAAGCCAUAAGUUAAAGAAAUGUAAAGAUUUAAAAAAAAAAAAAAAGAAAGAAAGAAAAAGGUGCAACUAUUAGUUUUCAUACAUGCAUUUUGCAACCUUUAAAUUAUAGGAUAUGUUGUUGACUCAAAUUCGACUCAAAUUGUAAUCCUAAUACUUGGUUGUUAAUUGUUUUCUUUCUGUUGAUGUUGCAACCACAUUUUAUGAUUUCUGAAAUAUUUACAGAGGUGAAAGUGGUCGCUGUGUUUGACGCCUUGAUGUCUGGACUGCCAACACACAAGGAAGAAUUUAUUGGGUAUUAUUUGUGAACCUAAACCAUGCUUCCAUCAUUUUCUAACUCUUUUAUUCUUGAGAUUCAAUUCUGUCUGCAGAAUUGUUUGUUUUCUUUGAUAUCCUACUGCAAAAUGUCCUUUGUAUCCACUUAGUAUACAUAUGUUACAUAUACACAUUUCUUGUUGGUGGUAAUUUUUUACAUAUACACAUAUCUUGUUGGUAGUAUUUUUGGACACAUAAAAGGUUCCAUGAUCCUGCUGUGCAUAUUGGGUGGUCAGAUUGAAUGGGGCUCAGUCGUGAUUUGCUACUUUUACUUUUCCACAAUUUAUUUAAAUCUGACUUUAUCUUUGUACCCUUGACUGGAAAUUCAUGAAUUGGGCUUCUGAUGGUAAAAUGAACUUGUUAGAUAUCUAGUAUUAUUUUCCACCUAUGUCUAUCUAUUCAUGUAUAAUAAUUACUCAACAGAUUAAAUUUUUUAUGAUUUUGGUAUAAACUAGGAAAAAAAAAUUACCUUAUAAUUGUUAGAAGCUUCUCUUGGCAAGAAAAGCAGAGGAGGCCAUAUAUCUAUCUAUGUUAUUAACCCCAAGAAGUGGGUUAAUUAGUACUGGUUAACUAUUGAAUUUUUUUAUGUUCUACUUAACUGAAAUUUCCUUGCAAUUUAUACUUUGUUUGAAACCUGUGAUAUUAAGCGUUCAUAAUGGUGCAGCGUUGACGUAGUGUUCUCUGGAGAAACGUGUGCUGAUGCAUGGAUUGAAAAAGAGGUAAAAAAUAAUAAUAAAUAAAAUAAAAUCUUAGACUUCCUGCUUCACAACGUAAAUGAUAGAAUUUUUCAGUUUAAAACCUGCGGAGUAUAUAACCACUACGUCCAUUAAUCCUGUCGAAAAUUGAUUUUAUGGGAUAAAUGAUUUUGAUCUCCGCUUCUAUGCAUAAUGGUAAUGACUCCUUUUGUAUUUUGUCCUUUGCCAAAAAGCCUUUUCCCCAGAUCAAUUUUUUUUUUCUUUGAUUGGAUCUCACUUGACUCUCUGUUGCUCACAUUGCAUAUUGAGGUAGAAAUUUUGUAUAAAUUUAUUGGCAUUCAAUCAGAAUAUCUGCUGUACGGCCAAGGCGGAUGUACGGUACAGCAGAAUUGAGAUAUAAUUAUCUUUUCCCCCAGAUUAUUUACUUUAAAUUAUGAAUAUAUCCUUCUUAAUGAUAGGAUGAUAAAAAAUGAUGAAUAAUAGAUAAAAUUAAAAUCAAAUUUAUUUUCUUCCGGGGCAAAUUAUGCAAAAUGAAAAAGUCAAAUCGUAACGUGGUACUGUGGGAAUUAUUAUGCUAUGCCUUCUGUUUGUAUAUCAUUAGGCUGGUAUGAAGUGUGAUUUUACUGCUGUUUUCUGAUUAGCAGGCUGGAAUCAUGUUUGUGUGACAGAUAGUAGCUUUGAGAGAGGAUGGAUGUCCCAAAGUUUGGGUUGUGACUUCUGAUCAUUUGCAGCAGCAUGCAGCAUAUGGAGCGGUAUGCUCUUUACUCUUGAGUUUUUUACAGUAGUGCUUGAUAAUAAAUUUAUACAAAUUUCUGACAAGUCUUUUUAUCUUGAAUCCGAUAAGGUGUCAAGAUGUUAGUGGGGCUAUUAGGGCAUGCGCAGGGCGGUUCGAUAGCGACUGUUCAUGUCCUUCAAUUUUAUUUUAUGUAAUAAGUGCCAUUAUGGCAUUACCAAACUUCACCGAUUGAAUAUAUUAUGUAUACUUUUGAUGAAAGUGAAUGCAUUCUUCAAACUUGAAAUUGGAAUAUUUUUUGUAGUUAUUUAAGAUCACAUUUCUUCAAAACAUAUCUAGGCAUUUAUAGUUCAAGGUUAGAAGCAAAUUAAUGGGGGAAGAUUUAAAUUAAUGAAGAUAAUGGUGAUAAAUAUACGUAUAAUCUAAUUAGCAGUUUGCUUGAGAAAUUAUGGGUGAAGAAAAAUAUACCAAAUCUAGUGCACGCGCUGCGCUGUACACAAGUUCAAUUUAGGCACAAAGAAAAAAAAAUUACUUUAUAUGCAUAAUUUAUUAAGAGUUGAAUUCAAAUAAUCGAAGUUGUAAGAAAAACUCUACUUGAUGUUAUGAAUUUUGUAUUUUAUUCAUUAAUAUUUUUUUGUCAAUUUAUUUUUCAUAGGGCCUUAAAGGUGUGUGUGUAGUGAAAUCAUUAAUUUAGUACACUGGCCUAUUUCAAGAUCGGAUGAUUUUAUUAUUUAAUCAAGAUUUUACAGUGUAAAAGCACUUUUAUUGUGUUUUGAACAUUUAUAUAAUAUAUUUGGUAUUAUACAUUAAGAUUUAUCUUUAUUAUUAUUAUUAUUGAACUCUUACCUAUUUGCUUAAUUUAUUUUUUAUUUUUUAGUUUAUAGAGAGUUUCUCUAACAAUUAUAUGUAUAAGCAGUAGCUAAGCUAUUUUAAUUAGUAGCGUCAGCACGACAAGCUAAAAGUCAUUUAUCAAUCAAUAUCCCUAAAAAAUCCCAACUGCCGGCAAAUUAAUACAUAUCAUCACCCUAUCGUAUUGACAACAAAAUGCGAGCAACGUCCAGGUUAUUACAACAAUAAUUUUAGCACACAUUCAAUCAAGUGAAUGAUAGACAUAUUUUGUGUAGAUUCAAUUAAAUUCAUUUAACUUGACCCCAACAAGAAAAAGAGAAAAUUUGUUUGCUUCUAAUGAAAAUUAAUUAAAUGAUAGCAAUAGUUUGUAUGAUUGUAUGUCAGUGUAGUUUUUUCUUGAAGAAAAAGAAAAAAAAAUCUAAUAAAAAUGACAAUUGGGUGGGCGGCUCAAUAAAAACAUGGUCGGUGAUAUUCGGUAAGCCCUGCGGGUAGCCACCAUCCAGCCAGUUUGCCUUUUCCCGUAUAUUUAUUACUUGAUUUUACACAGAGUUUUCACUAUCCGUUUAGCUCAAAUUCUUAUGUGAGAGUGAGACCACAAAAGUUUUGCAAGGCAAAAAGAGACAAGAGGAAGGGUUACAUGAGAACCGCCAAAUUUGCCAAGGCCACGGGAUAUUUGUGGUCAAUGUUCCACAAAAUACAACUUAACUCAACUCAACUAACCCACAAAAUAGCCGUGGGGCCAUUCAUUUGCUGAUUUUCCAGCUGCUUAAUUUGGCUCCAUAUGAUCUCGUGCCAUCUUAUAUUCUUUUUAUGCGGGCAUUUGCCAUCUUAAAUUCUUUAGAUUACCCAUAAUUUCUACAUACCUGGGACUAAAAUUACUUGAAAUUCAUACAUGUCUUAGAUAUUUUUAGCAGAAGACGAGGUGAUGAGUGGCAGCAGUUUCCCUCUGCCUCAUGCGAUUGUAUGGCUUAGUGCGAUUUAUACCUACCUUUGCCUUCAUUUUCAUGACCCUUUUGUUUUUUAACUAACUGAAAUUACACUAAUUCAUGAUCUGACUUUGCUCCGAUGAAAUUGUAUUUGGAUAAUUGGUGGUUAAUAUAAGCGUAAAUAAAUCUUAUUCAUAUAUUAAUAUUAAUAGAUUGCCAUGUGACAUAAGAUUUUACAAAUUCAGGAGAGCUCAAAUUGUGAAUAAAAUUCCAAUUGGAUAUGUGGAGGCAUUUGAAUAUAUGACUUUGAUUCUUUAAAAAAAAAAAAAUUAUUUAUAUAUGUAUACAAUCAGUAUGUCAUUUGAAAACUUUGGUUAAUCUACUAUGUUAAGCAAUUUUUUUUUAUAAAAAAAAGACUAAGCUACUGAUUUAAUAUAAUUCUCUACCUUUUUUAUUUGAUUUAAUAUAAUACUCUACCUUUUUUUAUUUAAUAUAUAUGAGUCUCUAUCUCUUUUAUUUUAUUAUGAUAAGCAUGAGUAAAAAUUUAUUCAUUUGGUAAUGUUCAGGUCAAAGAGGAUAAUCAUCAGAAUCCAACUACUAAUUUAGAUGGAUCCUCUCUAGUGAUUCCAGCAAGUUCGAGCACAUAGUACGGAGCUAUGUAAAUCGAGAUUAAGACCUGUUAAUGCAUAAUAAGUAUAACCUAAGUAGGUAAUUAUUCAAAUUUAUCAUAAUUUAUUUUGAUUUUUGAAUUGUACAGAAAAUUAAAUAUGAAGAAGACUUUAUAUACAGCAAUAUGAUUAAUUGUGUUUUAAUUAAUUAUCAAAAUUGUAUAGGAAAAUGAUCAUAACCCCCUCAUGCUUGGCGUAAUUAACUAUUCUUCCUUCAUAAGUUGAACAAUAAAAUCCCUGACGUUAUAGGUUUAAAAAUCCCUAGACACUUUUGGAGGACUAUCUAUUCUUUUUGUAACAGACAAUUGAUAAAUGGAUUUUAAACACUAAUUAAUUUCGAGGGAUAUUAUCAAAUAUAAUACCUAGCAAAAUUAUUUUUUUGACAUAUCAAUUUAUCAACGAGAUUUUUUUAUAAUUAUGUUUUACCAUCUAAUGUUUUGGUUGUUACUAUUUAUCGCCAAAAUCUUAACACUAUUAAAAAAUUGUUGAGGUCACAAGAGUAUUUGAUAAAUUUCAAACUGAAGCUAUUUUUCUAUUUUCUUAAUUCUUUUAGAGAUUUUUAUCUUUUUCCUCUAGACAUCUGAUUUAGAGCCUUUUAUUUUUGUUUUAUUUAUUUCAAUUAUUAGAAUUUUAUUAUGAUUUUAUAUUAUUACAUUUAAUUGGUUUAAUUAUAAUUGAACUUAAUAUGGUGAAAUUUAUUUGUACAAGUAAAAAUAAUAUCACAAAUUAGUUUCUCUAUGGAUGCAUGAAAAUUUUCAGUUACUGUCACUAUCAGAAAACCUAAAUUCAAUCGCAGGAAUAUCUUAAAAUAAUAAAAUUUUAAUAACUAAAUUAAAGAAAAAGAAUAAAAACGACUCGUACAUCUAAUUUCUUAAAAUCAAAAAAAAAAACUACAAAAAUAAGAAAAUGACUUCAUCUUGAAAUUUCUUAAAUACCUUUGUGAUCUCAAUAAUUUUUUAGUAGUGUUAAGAUUUUGAUAGUAAAAUGAUAGCAGACAGAAUAUUAGGUGGUAAAAUGUAGUUAUUAGAAAAUCUUGAUGGUGAAUUGAUAUGUCGGGGAACUUCUAGUGAUGAUUUGAUAAAAUCCCUUAUUUCACUGUAAAAUUAAAAACAAGAAAAAGGAAAGUCAAUAGUUAAUAAAACAUUCAUUGACAGUAGAGGGUUUUGUUGUUUCCAAAACUAAGGGUGUACUGUAAAUAGUUAAUUUCUCCUGGCAGUAGGGACAUUUUACUUACCUUAAAAAUUUUGUAUUCCUUCAUGGCACAUUUAGUCCAUUUUUGUAAUGGAAUGAAUUUUUCAUUAAGUUGUAAAUCUUUAGCUGUGAAGUAAAGGUGAGUAUUUACUAGGCGAUUGAUAUAACAGUUGUGUUUUCAUAAUCAAACGGCGGCACAAUAGUUGUUGCUAUCUCACAACACAAAUGUAAAUUAAGAAAGCGCUAAACAACUAGAGAACUUGGAAAGAGGCAAUAUAAUUAUGUGUGUGUAUACAUAUAUACACAUACAUAUCAUUAAUGUUGUUUAACCACACGACUUAACAUCGUACCUCGCAUCUAAGCAUGAUUAUAUGUUUUAAAAAAACUAUUAAAACAUAUGAUUUUAUAACAUUAUAUCAUUAUACUAUUAAACCAUGUGGCUUAAUAGUUUUCAUGGACGUUACAAUAUUAAAUCAUAUAAAUAGUUUUCAUGGACGUUACAAUAUUAAAUCAUAUAACUUAAUAGCUUUUCCACACUAACAAAUUUAAUAUUUUGGAUUGGGACACACACACACAUGUAUAGGUGUUGUGCCCUUAUUUAUUUAUUUAUUUAUUUUGAAAUGUAAACAUGUUGUUUAAUAGUUUUCUUUACUGACUCUAUUAAACUGUAUGAUUUAAUAGUAUGUUCACAUGAAAAAAAAAUGAAGGCACCCACAUUAGAGAAGAACUAUAAUAUUAAACAAAAUAAUCUAACAAAUAUUGUUAAUUAUUAUUUUUUUUUUUAUGAACAACUACACAAACGGAGUGAUUCUAAGAAAGCUUGUGAAGCGAGUUGAGGCUGCAGACUAUGAGACAUAUUAAUUUUCUACAAUUUACCUUUUGUUCAUUAUAUUAAAGUCCCAUUAUUUUUAUUACUAUUCUUUAUGUUUGCUAUUCCGCACGAAUACGUAUCCCUAACGUAUUAGUUGUCGCUUCUUAGAAAUUUUAUAAAUAUCAAUAAUUAAUAUCAUUAUUCAAUCAUUUAGAAAAACCUGAGCAUUAAUUAGUUUAUCUCUGAAUUAAAACUAGACACAUGUAAAUAUGUGAACUCUAAUUAAAUCUUGAUACUUGUAAUAUAUAUGAGCCAUAUCUAAAAAGGAAAUUUCAAUUUCUACUUCCAUUUUUUAAAUGCCAGGUCGAUGUACAUUAUCUAUGCAUGUACUGAAUAGGAAGCAACACAUGAAGAUGCAUUCUUUUUGCUAGACACUGAUUUUUAAUUUUCAUUUUUUUUCCAAUUAUUCAAAGGUGCCUGGUCCACGCAUGUCCGGUUCGUCAAGCAGACAAGCACAAUCAUGUGAAACUUGCUGAAUUAUUGAUGGUGGUGGGGGCUGCCUCUGGCUUAUGAGUUUGAAGAUUUGUAAAGGGAAGGUUCGUAGUAGAUACAUCCCAUUCUCUACUUAUUGAUGGUGGUGGGGGCUGCGAUUUUAUAUUCAUUGAAUCUGGUAACAAGUGGUGGUGACUGGUGAUUGGUGAAUUGCCAAAAUUAUUAAAAGAAAAAUUGCACACUAUCCUUUUUUUCAUUUUUUAUUCUUUAUUUUACUAUUUCUAAUCGGUCCCACAAAAAAAUAUUUUAUUAUUUUUUACCGAUCCCACAAAAGAAAAAUUCGAAAAGUGAACGCGUUUUCUGUCGUCCCUUCGUCGGCUUUCGUUCGUUUUCAGUUUUCACCGUCCUUUUUUUCAUUUUUUAUUCUUUAUUUUACUAUUUAUAGUCGGUCCCACAAAAGAAUAUUUCAUUUUUUCCAAUUAUUAAUCGACUUGUUAUUUCAUUAUAUAUAUAUAUAUAUAUAUAUAUAAUAAAUGAGUCGAAUUUAUGUUCAGCUAAAAUUUUAUUGUAUUUGACACGACUGUAAUGUAACAUGAUGGUAGGAAUUACCAUUGUGAUUUUAAAAAAUUAUAGUGUUUAUAAUUUGAGUCUUCGUCUUAGCAUUGCAAUUAAUUCAAUAAAUGAAGUAAUUAUAUGGCAAAAGGAGAGAGAGAGAGAAACGUUUUAGUUUAACUUUGUUUAUAAGUUUGAAGAUUUGUAAAGCGAAGGUUCGUAGUAGAUGCAUUCCAUUUUACUCUUUAUUCAGUAUUUACCCAGACACUGGAUUAAUGUUGUUGAUUUGAUAUACGAUUUUAUAUUUAUUGAUUCUAAUAACUAGAGGUGGUCACUGAUGAUUGGUGACUCACUAAAUUAUUAAUGGGUGGUGGGCUCUCCUUUUAUUUUCACUUUCCUGGAAUAAGCAACAAGUGGAAGACUUGUUACAUGCACUUUGCUCGACUCUCCAUGCUUACUGUUCAAUUUUCUGAUUCUGCUUUCCAUAACCCAUAAUUCUGCUCCUUUCUUCCUUUGCCCAAAAAAAAAGAAAAAAAUGUCAAUCAUCGGAGAGGCAAUCCUUACGGCGUCCGUUGAUUUGCUGGUCAAUAAGUUAGCUUCAGAGGGGAUUCUGUUUUUUGCACGCCAAGAGCAAAUCGAGGCCGAUCUGAUGAGGUGGGCGAAUAUGUUGGAGAUGAUCAAGGCGGUGCUUGAUGAUGCUGAGGAGAAGAAGACGACUAAUCAGUUUGUGAACAAGUGGCUUGGCAAGCUUCAGAACUUGGCUUAUGAUGUUGAAGACUUGUUGGAUGAGUUUCAAACUGAGGCUUUCCGGAGGAGGUUGCUGCUUGGGAAUGGAGAACCAGCUGCUGCUCAUGAUCAACCCAGUAGCAGUCGUACAAGACCAAGCAAGUUUAGGAAGCUCAUUCCUGCUUGCUGCACCACUUUUACUCCACAAUCGAUUCAGUUCGAUUAUGGCUUGAAGUCCAAAAUCAAAGAGAUCAGCAGCAGAUUUCAAGAAAUUGAAGAAGGAAUACGCUCGCUGAAUUUGAUAAAAAGUUUAGCUGGGGGGUCCAAAAAAGCCAGGCAAAGGCAAGAGACAACCUCUUUGGUGGAGGAAGCCAAAGUAUAUGGCAGGGAAACAGAAAAGAAGGAAAUUGUUGAAUUGUUGUUGAAGGAUGAUUCAAGAAAGGAUGGUGGAUUCUCUGUUAUUCCUAUUCUAGGUAUGGGCGGGCUGGGUAAAACCACUCUUGCUCAGGUUGUCUACAAUGAUAAGCAGGUGGAGGAUCAUUUUAAUCUCAAGGCAUGGGCUUGCGUCUCCGAUGAUUUUGAUGUUAGCAGGCUUACAAAAUCAAUCCUACAUUCAAUUGCUAGUGACCAGAAUGUGGAUAAUCACGACUUGAAUAAGCUUCAAGAGGAGCUAAAGAAACAACUAUUUGGAAAGAAAUUUUUGCUUGUUUUAGAUGACGUUUGGAAUGAGAAUUACAAUGACUGGGUUCAACUCAGCCUUCCAUUUCAAGCUGGCGCGAAGGGAAGUAAGAUUGUUGUCACUACUCGCAAUCAACAGGUUGCAAAAAUCAUGAGGCCGGAUCAAGCUUAUGAAUUGAAAAACUUGUCAACUGAGGAUUGUCUGUCUGUGUUUGCUCAGCACUCUUUGGGGACAAGAGAUUUCAGUUCACACAAGUCAUUGGAGGACAUUGGCAAGAAGAUAGUGAUCAAAUGCAAUGGCUUGCCCUUGGCAGCAAAAACACUGGGAGGACUUUUAUGUGGAGAACAUGACAGAGGUGUGUGGGAAGAUGUGCUCAGUAGCAAGAUAUGGGAAUUACCAGAAGAUAGAUGUCCCAUUAUACCAGCUCUUGCAGUGAGCUAUUAUUAUCUUCCUCCAAUUUUGAAACAAUGCUUUGCAUACUGCUCAUUGUUUCCUAAGGAUUAUGAAUUUGAAGAUGAGGGGAUAAUUUUAUUAUGGAGUGCUGUGGGUUUCUUGGAUCACGGAGAGGGGGGGAAUCCUAGUGAAGCUCUAGGUCGAAAGUUCUUUCAAGAGCUACGUUCAAGAUCUUUCUUCCAGCAAUCAAGCAACAAUACAUCACGAUUUGUGAUGCACGACCUUAUCAGCGACCUUGCUCAAUGGGCUGCGGGGGAGAUAUACUUCACAAUGGAGUAUACCUCGGAGGUUAACAAGCAACAGAGUUUUUCCAAAAAUCUUCGUCAUCUAUCGUACAUUCGUGGAGAAUGUGAUGGCGUUAAACGGUUUGAGGGCUUGUACGAUAUCCAACAUUUGCGAACAUUUUUACCAGUAAAGCUGUCAAAUAGUUGGGAUGGAGACUUGGCUCGUAGCAUUCUUCCUAAGUUGUUCAAACUCCAACGCUUGAGGGUCUUCUCCUUGUUUGGAUACCACAUCUCUGAGCUACCAAAUUCAGUAGGUGAUUUGAGGUAUUUAAAGUACCUUAACCUAUCUGGAACUGAAAUUAGAACUCUGCCUGAAUCAGUGAACAAGCUUUACAAUUUGCACACACUUUUGUUGGAGGACUGUCGGAAACUGAAGAAGUUGUGUGCAGAAAUGGGAAGCCUCAUCAAAUUGCAUCAUCUUAAAAAUUCAAAUACAGAUUCCUUGGAGGAAAUGCCACUAGGAAUUGGUAAUUUGACUUGUCUUCAAACGUUGUGUAAUUUUGUUGUGGCAAAAGACAGUGGUUCCGGGUUAAGAGAGCUGAAGUCGUUGACUCAUCUUAAGAGGACACUUAAAAUUUCAAAAUUGGAGAAUGUAAAAUGCGUUGGUGAUGCCAUGGAGGCUCAAAUGGAUGGAAAGAAGAAGAAAAGACAGUGGUUCGGGGUUAUCAGAGCUAAAGUUGUUGAUGCAUCUUCGUGGGGCACUUGAAAUUUCAAAAUUGGAGAACGUAAAAGACGUUGGUAAUGCGAAGGAGGCUCGGUUGGAUGGAAAGAAGAAUCUUAAAGAAUUAUUGCUUCGAUGGACACGCAGUACCGAUGGUUCAUCUUCAAGGGAGGCAGAAACUGAAAUGGGCGUGCUUGACAUGCUAAAACCUCAUACAAAUCUGGAGCAAUUUUGUAUCAAAGGCUAUGAAGGUAUGAAAUUUCCAACUUGGUUGGGAGAUUCCUCAUUCUCAAAUUUGGUGACCCUAAAAUUUAAAAAUUGCGGCAUGUGCACUGCCCUGCCGUCUAUGGGGCAACUGCCCUCUCUAAAGCAUCUUACAGUGCGUGGAAUGAGCAGAGUAAAGAGAUUGGGUUCAGAGUUCUAUGGGAAUGAUCCUCCAAUUCCUUUUCUAUGCUUGGAGACUCUUCGUUUUGAAGACAUGCAAGAAUGGGAAGACUGGAUUCCCCAUGGAUCCAGUCAAGGAGUUGUUGAAGGGUUUCCUAAAUUGAGAGAGCUUCACAUUUUAAGAUGUUCUAAAUUGAAAGGAACAUUUCCAGAGCACCUUCCUGCAUUGGAGAUGCUUGUUAUUGAAGGAUGUGAAGAAUUGUCAGUUUCAGUUUCGAGUCUUCCAGCUCUUUGCAAAUUACAGAUUGGUGGAUGUAAAAAGGUUGUGUGGGAAAGUGCAACUGGUCAUCUCGGAUCUCAGAAUUCAGUGGUUUGUAGAGAUGCAUCAAAUCAAGUGUUUCUCGCAGGGCCAUUAAAGCCGCAACUGCCAAAAUUGGAAGAAUUGGAGAUAAAUGAUAUGAAAGAGCAUAAAUAUAUCUGGAAGAGUCAUAAUGGAUUACUACAAGACAUUUGCUCUCUCAAAAGAUUGACGAUUGACAGCUGUCCCAAACUUCAAUCCUUGGUGGCGGAGGAAGAGAAAGACCAACAACAGCAGCUCUGCGAGUUGUCAUGCAGACUCGAAUAUCUAAGAUUGAGAUAUUGCGAAGGCCUUGUGAAGCUGCCACAAUCAUCGCUCAGCCUGAGUUCCUUGAGAGAGAUAGAAAUCUGCAAGUGCAGUUCCCUUGUUUCCUUUCCUGAGGUUGCUCUGCCUUCCAAGUUGAAGAAAAUUAGGAUUAGCAGUUGUGAUGCACUGAAAUCGUUACCAGAGGCAUGGAUGUGCGACACCAAUUCAUCUCUCGAGAUCUUGGAGAUUUGGAUUUGCUGUUCGUUGACAUAUAUUGCUGGAGUCCAGCUACCACGGAGCCUUAAGAGGUUGCAUAUCUUGUUGUGCAAUAAUAUAAGGACUUUGACAGUGGAAGAGGGCAUCCAGUGUAGCAAUAGCAGCAGCAGCAGCAGAAGGUACACCUCAUCCCUUCUCGAGCACUUACACAUUGGCAAUUGUCGAUCUCUGACAUGUAUAUUUUCAAAAAACGAGUUACCUGCCACGCUUGAGUCCCUUGAAGUUGGCAAUCUACCUCCGUCUCUUAAGGUACUUGAUAUUUAUGGAUGUCCAAAGCUGGAGUCAAUAGCAGAAAGGUUGGACAACAACACAUCUCUUGAAACAAUCAGUAUUUUGUGUUGUGAAAAUCUGAAAAUUUUACCGAGUGGUUUACAUAAUCUCCGCCAGCUUCAAGAGAUUAGCAUAGAGAAAUGUGGAAAUCUGGAGUCCUUUCCCGAAGGGGGAUUGCCUUGUGCGAAACUGAGUAAGCUCAGGAUCUAUGGGUGUGAGAGACUAGAGGCCUUACCCAAGGGAUUGCACAAUCUGAAGUCUCUUCAAGAAUUAAGAAUAGGAAGAGGAGUUGAGCUUCCAAGCCUUGAAGAAGAUGGCCUUCCCACCAACCUUCAUUCACUGGAGAUUGAUGGUAAUAUGGAGAUUUGGAAGUCAACGAUUGAGUGGGGUCGGGGAUUCCACAGAUUCUCCUCUCUGCGAUGUCUUGCAAUCAGCGGAUGCGAUGACGACAUGGUGUCAUUUCCACUAGAGGACAAAAGAUUAGGGACCGCGCUUCCUCUUCCUGCCUGUCUAGCAUCCCUGAUGAUUGGUAAUUUUCCAAAUCUGGAACGCCUAUCUUCUUCAAUUGUUGAUCUUCAAAACCUCACUGAAUUGUAUCUCGGGGAUUGUCCCAAGCUCAAAUACUUUCCGGAGAAGGGCCUGCCUUCCUCACUUUUGCGAUUAUACAUCGACGAAUGUCCGUUGAUAGCAGAGAAGUGCAGAAAGGAUGGAGGACAAUAUUGGGACUUGUUAACCCAUAUACCCAGUGUUCUAAUAGAUUUAGCAAAGGAGGAGGACUCUAUUAAUUAAUUAAUGAAUUAAUUUCUCGUUAUCAGCGGUUGAAACUUCAGUUUCUUAUAUUUGUCUUUUCCGCGGUACGGUUACAUAUAUUUGUGUAUGUAAUUUUAAAAUUUAAAUCUCAGUUGAAAACUGUUUUAAAUUAAUAAAAAGAAAAAUGUUAAGUAGAGUAAGGGGCUCGCAUUAUUUCAGCAGCGGGGGACAUAUGUGUAUUAAUUAAUUAAUUAAUUAAUGGAUUAAUUUCUUAUGCGUAUCUCAUUCUAAGCUGUUGAAAUAAACUUCAGUUUCUUUUAUUUGGCUGUACAGUUACGCAUGUGUAAUAUUUCUCUUCAUCAGAUUUCGAC